rnacentral:rRNA from 1 species
GAUGAACGCUGGCGGCGUGCCUAAUACAUGCAAGUCGAGCGAACAGACGAGGAGCUUGCUCCUCUGACGUUAGCGGCGGACGGGUGAGUAACACGUGGAUAACCUACCUAUAAGACUGGGAUAACUUCGGGAAACCGGAGCUAAUACCGGAUAAUAUAUUGAACCGCAGGGUUCAAUAGUGAAAGACGGUUUUGCUGUCACUAAUAGCUGGAUCCGCGCCGCAUUAGCUAGUUGGUGAGGUAACGGCUUAUCAAGGCAACGAUGCGUAGCCGACCUGAGAGGGUGAUCGGCCACACUGGAACUGAGCCACGGUCCAGACUCCUACGGGAGGCAGCAGUAGGGAAUCUUCCGCAAUGGGCGAAAGCCUGACGGAGCAACGCCGAGUGAGUGAUGAAGGUCUUCGGAUCGUAAAACUCUGUUAUUAGGGAAGAACAAAUGUGUAAGUAACUAUGCACGUCUUGACGGUACCUAAUCAGGAAGCCACGGCUAACUACGUG